rnacentral:rRNA from 1 species
UGCCUUACACAUGCAAGUCGAACGGUAACAGGUCUUCGGAUGCUGACGAGUGGCGAACGGGUGAGUAAUACAUCGGAACGUGCCCGAUCGUGGGGGAUAACGCAGCGAAAGCUGUGCUAAUACCGCAUACGAUCUACGGAUGAAAGCGGGGGAUCGCAAGACCUCGCGCGGACGGAGCGGCCGAUGGCAGAUUAGGUAGUUGGUGGGAUAAAAGCUUACCAAGCCGACGAUCUGUAGCGGGUCUGAGAGGAUGAUCCGCCACACUGGGACUGAGACACGGCCCAGACUCCUACGGGAGGCAGCAGUGGGGAAUUUUGGACAAUGGGGGAAACCCUGAUCCAGCCAUGCCGCGUGCAGGAUGAAGGCCUUCGGGUUGUAAACUGCUUUUGUACGGAACGAAAAGACUCUGGUUAAUACCUGGGGCUCAUGACGGUACCGUAAGAAUAAGCACCGGCUA